CAUUCGUACCGAGACGUUAGAGGUGAAAUUCUUGGAUCGUCUCGAGACGAACUGACGCGAAAGCAUUUGCCAAGUACGUUCUCGUAUGAUCAAGAACGAAAGUUAGAGGUUCGAAGGCGAUCAGAUACCG
rnacentral:rRNA from 1 species